ensembl:lncRNA
ACGCCUGACUCUUGAAUCAUCAGUGAGUAAUGACGCGGAGCCCCGCAGGCAGACUCUCGGAUCUGGAUUUGAGCUUGAAUCCUUUGAUUUGUUUUCAUCAACACUAACAGCAUUCCCGCAGGCCCUUCACUUCAAAGCCCGGGGAGCUGGUGGCGGAGGGCCUGCAGCUACUGCACAGGGAGGCAGAAAGCAACCCAAACAUCAUUGCCACAGGUGCCAAGAUGAGCUGCGUUGGCUUCCUGUGAAGGCUCCAGCUAUGGAUUCCAAUCCCAGCCUCACCGCUUCCCAGCUGUGUAAACUUCGGCAAGUUUCUUAAACUCUCAGAGCCUCUUCAUCUGUAAACAAGGCUACUUACAGCUCCCCACUCAGCGUGUCCUGGUGAGGAUUAAGAGAGCUAACGGACGCGCUGCACUUUCUCCAUGUUAACUGUUACAAAGAGGUAAACAAGCCAUGGUCUGCAGCAAGGGACUCAGAUCUGGUAGGAAAGACUCAGCCGGGGAUACAAAUGGCAAUAUUGGAAGGUGUAAAGUGCUCAUGUCUCAAAGGCGAGAAAGAUAACGUGUCACAUGGCUCCUGGAGUUUGACUCUGGCCCAAAGUGAAGGCUGCCUGGGAUGCAAAGGAGAAGCUCUCAGCCCAGUCUGCUGGGGAAGCACCUGUCAUUGGUUUGGGCCUGGCAGCGUGGUCUCCAAGGAGACGGUAGUGAGACCCCGCCUGUGUCACUGAGCCAGCACUGGGGGACUGAGGCCCAGGGGUCUGUACUGGGACCUCAGGAGAGUCUGAAGGCCAGGCAGCUUUGGGACCGCUGAAGAAAACCCUUCCUCUCUGUUCCUAGGUUGCAUGUAGAUUCUUGGCAGAGGCCUUGGUAUUACCCAGACAUUGUCCCCCGCCCUGCACGGAGGGAGUGACUCCAACAGUAAGGAGUCUGGCAGCACUGCAGGGGAUGGCAUGGAAGCUUUGAGUGGAGCCUCCCAGAAGCCUGCAGCAUGACAUGGAGCUAUCUGCUGCUCAGUCAGAGACCCAGGCCUUCCAAGACUCCCAGUGGCUCUGUCCCUGGGCACUGAGGGUGGGCCAAAUGGGCUUCCCACUUCACCAACCUGCACCCAUUUCCUGGCUGGACCAGGCAUCCUGGGGGAGUUACAUGAGGCUCCCUGCUGGUUAAGGCUCCAAGCCCACCUUGGUCUUCUGGGCUGGGUCCCUCAUGCUCCUCCUCUCCUUCCAUAUCAUCCCACCCUCCCUACCCCUGCCAGCCCCAUUUGUUCUCUGUUCCUCGCUCUCCCACCUCCUCUGUCUCCUAGGUGUCUGCCCACCCCUGCCUUUCUCAGUCGCCACACAGCUCAUGGCCAUGUCCACGCCCCCCCAGACCUCAUCCCCAGUAAUAUCAACCACAACCAUAACCAAUGUUUAUUACGCACCUAUUAUGUCCUAGGUACUGUUAUUCAUUUCAUUUAAUUCUCACAUAAACCCCAUGAAGCAGGUUGGGUUAUUACUACCAUUUUAUAGAUAAGGAAACUGAGGAUCGACAAGGCGAAGCAACCUACUCAGGGUCAAACAAUUUGUAAGUGGACAGCCAGGUUUCAUCUUCGAGUCUAUCUUGUGUAUCUCAUACCCCUUCUCCCUCCCUGGCAUUAUGUUACACGUUUAUUGAGUUGGCUGUUAUCCAUCUAGAAUGUGGGCUCCCUGAGGCCAGGGACUGACCUACUCACCACCUCCUGUAUCAGUACCUGGCACGUAAUUGAUGCUCAAUGAGUAUCUGUUAAGUGAAUAAAUGAAUUGAUGGCAAAAUCCAUACUCUAUUUUAAAAAUUUUUUAUUAAUUUUCAAAGUGACAAUGCACAUAGUUAAAAAAUCAAGCAC